UUGACAACCAGCCCAAUCUCAGAGUGCUUAUAGUGUGCAAUUACAGUCACGUGCACAUGUGCACACACACACACACACACACACACACAUACACACACGCCAUAACAUUGUUUUGUGUUUGCUUUUGCAUAAUUUGCAUACCUUUUUAUUUUUCAGUCUAUAGUCUUUGUUUAAAAAAUAUCUUUCAUAGUGAUUCACAUGUUAGCCAUUAUCAUUCCUAGCUAUAACUUAAUUAAAACGUACCCCAAGUACUAAUAGUUAAUAUCAUUAGUACAUCUGUGGAAAUCUUUUCUGAUUAGAUUGCCUAGGUCGGUGGUUCUCAGACUUUGCCACAUAUCAGACUCACCUGGGAAGCCUUUAAAAAUCGUGAUGCUGGCCAGGUGUGGUGGCUACGCCUAUAAUCUCAGCACUUUGGGAGUCUGAGGCAGGUGGAUUGCCUGAGCUCAGGAGGUCGAGAUCAGCCUGGUCAACAUGGUGAAACCCCAUCUCCACUAAAAAUACAAAAUAUUAGCUGGGUGUGGUGGUGUGCACCUGCAUUUCCAGCUACUCAAGAGGCUGGGGCAUGAGAAUUGCCUGAACCUGGGAGGUGGAGGUUGCAGUGAGCCGAGAUUGCACCACUGCACUCCAGCCUGGGCAACAGGGCAAGACUCUAUUAAAAAAAAAAAUUAUGAUGCUGAGGCUUCACCCUGAGCCAAUGAAAUCAGAAUCUUGGGAGGAGGGGGCACAUACAGGCAUCAGCAGUUUUAAAAAGAUGGCCAGGUGAUUCCAACAUGCAGACAAAUUUGAAAACAAGAGGCUUAGGAGGUGUCUGGAUCCCAUCUCUUCAAACCUGCUUCCUGGAGAUUUCUUGUUCAAAUCCACGUGUAAAGAGAGGUUUUGAAUUUGUCAUUCAUCCCAGCUCUGCAGGGAUGAAACUGCCCAGGCAGAUCAGGGGAACCUGCUUUUCGUAUAUGGCCACUGUCAACAAGAAAAGCUGGUAAGUACUACUGUAGCUUUUUAUUGUAAUCUCUUCUGUGAUAUUUUGGAAAUAUUGUAACAGGUUCCUUUGAGCAGUCAAUACAACCUUAGGGAACAAUUGGAAUCCCUGUGGAGGCUCAAAACAUGUAUUUUUCUAAUUUAAAACUUUAUGUUUCAUCUGUAGUAUGAAAUGAGCACAAUAUUGCCUAUCUCAUAUGUAUGUUCUGUUGAUUGUUGACAUUUUUAUUUAAAGCACCUAACAGUUGGGCCACUGUACCCAGCUCUAGAAGUGAUUUCUAAUUGAAUGUCAAUAGAAGAAACACCCGAGUGUGAGAGUUUCCAGCCAUGAAGCCAAAGAAACUUAAUGAAGGUAAAAUUACUGACAAAAAUGAGGAAAGUGGAGGGAGACCACCAGUUAUAUGCACCAUAAAUUAUCAAGACAGCUCACACUCUGCAAGGUAUUUUAGACAAGUAAUCUCAUUUAAUCCUCAUGCUAACCCCAACAAGGUACUAUCAUUCCAUUUUACAGAUGACGAAAGUGAGAUUCAGAGAGAUUGAGUUAUAUAAAGUUGCAAAGCAAGUAACUGCUAUAAUUGAUCUUAGGACCCAAGUCUGUAGUGGCUGAGAACAUGGGCUCUGGAGUCAUGCAAAUCUGUGUUUGAAUCCUGACUCUUCCACUGUCUUGUUAUGUGACAAGUGUCCAUGAGCUGCUAUUUCCUUCUCUGUAAAAUGGGACAAAUAAUAAUAGCCACUUUCGAGGGUUAUGAAGGAUAAAUGAGAAAUGCAUUGAGUAAGUGCUUGAUGUGUAGUAAAUGCUCAGC
rnacentral:lncRNA from 1 species